rnacentral:lncRNA from 1 species
GACUUUGGACUCACGUAGGCAUAGGAGAACGAAACUUCUGUACAUUUUAAUCUGAAUAAUUCUUCAGGAUUUAAAAUUAAUUGGCUCUGGCUUGGUUGGACCGUACUCGGAUCUCGCCACCUCUGCGUUUCCCGAGUCACUGGCGAAGAGGUCCCAGUUCCUCUGGGAAUCGUCCUGUAUGCAACAUCUUCACAAGAGUGGCAGGCAGUUGAAUCUCUGGCCUUCGUGGGACCACUGGACAUCUGGCAGAGAACCAGGAAACCACGGUUCCCUUCUGUGAGUCCCUCAGCCGGAAAACUACAAGCUCCUCAUGCAGCUGCUGUCUACAGACCCCCUGGACUGCCUGGGGAAGUGAGUCGGAGCUCCUGCAGCAGAGGGGUGGAACAGCUACACGAAGAUCCGAAGGUGGCCAAAAAUAACAGCGCUUUCCAGAUGAGGGAGCCAGUUGUCCAGCACAGUGUCAUGGGACAGUGGGCCCUGGUGCCACAAUGCCCGGCAUCUCCACCAGAUACAGCUUUGAGAUCUUCAUGAUGAAGCUUGCUCCAAUCCAAGGGCUGUCAGGUGGGGUUUGCGGUUCAGCUGCUAACCUUUCUUUGCAUCACCACUUAGAUGGUCAGUGCUUCCGUCUGAGCUACUUCCUAUUUUACUGAACCAGUUCUACAGAAUUCUAUUCCCUGGCCCCAGCUGAUUGGAACAGGUGUGGACAUCUGGCCCAGCUGGGCUAGUCCCUGCUCUUUCCCUGGGAUUAAAUUAGAUUGUAUGCAGCACAUUGGCAUAUGUAUUAGUCUAUUCUCAUGCUGCUAAUAAAGACAUACCCGAGACUGGGUAAUCUGUCAAGGAAA